rfam:Triticum aestivum genome assembly, contig: Triticum_aestivum_CS42_TGACv1_scaffold_577093_7BL
AUAGUACUCCCUCCGUCCCAUAAUUCUUGUCUUAGAUUUGUCUAUAAAUGCGGAUGUAUCAAUACAUCCGCAUUUAUAGACAAAUCUAAGACAAAAAUUAUGGGACGGAGGGAGUACUUG